rnacentral:rRNA from 1 species
AUGAACGCUGGCGGCGUGCCUAAUACAUGCAAGUCGAGCGAACAGACGAGGAGCUUGCUCCUCUGACGUUAGCGGCGGACGGGUGAGUAACACGUGGAUAACCUACCUAUAAGACUGGGAUAACUUCAGGAAACCGGAGCUAAUACCGGAUAAUAUAUUGAACCGCAUGGUUCAAUAGUGUAAGACGGUUUUGCUGUCACUUAUAGAUGGAUCCGCGCCGCAUUAGCUAGUUGGUAAGGUAACGGCUUACCAAGGCGACGAUGCGUAGCCGACCUGAGAGGGUGAUCGGCCACACUGGAACUGAGACACGGUCCAGACUCCUACGGGAGGCAGCAGUAGGGAAUCUUCCGCAAUGGGCGAAAGCCUGACGGAGCAACGCCGCGUGAGUGAUGAAGGUCUUCGGAUCGUAAAACUCUGUUAUUAGGGAAGAACAAAUGUGUAAGUAACUAUGCACGUCUUGACGGUACCUAAUCAGAAAGCCACGGCUAACUACGUG